rnacentral:sRNA from 1 species
UUGAAUGGAAUACUGUACAAAAUCAAGA